rnacentral:rRNA from 1 species
CUUCGGCCAGGUCGAGUCUGAGCAACUGGGGACGCGUCCCUAUAAUAGGCUGCCGAGCGUUAAAGAAUUCAAGCCGGUUGAGGUCGGUUUUUCCGUUCGGGGAUCCGUUUGCUUUCUAGUACGGCCCAUUCUUCCCCGGGGCCGUAGUGGGGGGGGGGCGGGCGACUCGCCCCAAGAGGGAAGGUCAUUUUUGACCGGGAUAUUUUUUCGCGCAGCCUUUAAAAAGUAUUCUUGACGCCCCGACAAAACUUCAGGCAAAACUCGCGAGCCAACGGUGAUUGUGGAAAUUUGGUCCUCCGGUUGCAAUCGCUGGGCGACGAGCUGAACACCAGUGCCUGUUCUGUCGCGGACACGGGUCAGGCUGCAGACGAUAAACCUCCUGUGGGGGUCGAAUUUUCGAAUCAGGGCAGUUUUUCCAAGCAGGCCCCUUUUCAGAAAAUACGAGAUAUUAGCUCGACAAGAAUUGGCACAAGGCAACACCAUGCUCUGGCCGUUCACACCUGCGGCAAGCGGAAGUGCCGAGCGUGGAGGCCAGGUCUAUGCCUAGCCCGAGCCCGCGGUCGUUGCCCGGUCUCCAUUUCACGGGCCUUGGCUGCCUCGAAAACCCCGGCUUCUCCUGGGGAAUAGUUUAUGGCCUCGAGCUCGAGAACUUUUUAACUUGUGAAAUUUUUCAAAGGGAGGGACGAAUCCCGAACGCGACAAGGGCUGAAUCUCAGUGGAGAUACAGUGGCAGCAAGGCCACUCUGCGCACUUACAAUAUCCGGGGCCGUCCGCGGAGCUAGUUUUAAGUGUGGGCGAUUCGUCUUUGAUGCAGAGGAUCUAGGGAUAGGUUAUUGGACAGAGCAGCGGUCCGGGCUAGCAUGACUGCACACGAGAGCGUGGUUAAGGAGGGGGAGUAGGGAUAGUAGGUUAUCUUUUCUGUUUACAAGCUCUGCCCACCUGGAAACGGCUCAGCGGGAGGUAGGGUACCAGCGGCUGGAAGAGGCACCGGCACGUCGCGUGGUUUCCGGUGCGCCCCGGCGGCCUUGAAAAUCCGGAGGACCGAGUGCCUAUCAGCCCGGUCGUACUCAUAACCGCAUCGGUCUCCAAGGUGAACAGCUCUGGUCGAUGGAACAAUGUAGGAAGGGAAGUCGGCAAAAUGGAUCCGUACCUCGGGAAAAGGAUUGGCUCUGAGGGCUGGGCACGGGGGUCCAGCAGCCGAACCCGUCGGCUGUCGGUGGAUCUGCUCAGCUGACUCUGCUGUCGUCGUCGUGCGAUGGUCGAGGCGGUCGUCGCGUGCCGGUCGGGGACGGAUUGGGAAUGGGCCCUCGGGUCCUCUUCCCGGCGUCGAACAGUUCGACUCAAACUGGUACGGACAAGGGGAAUCCGACUGUUUAAUUAAAAACAAAGCAUUGCGAUGGUCCCCUGCGGAUGUUGACGCAAUUUGAUUUCUGCCCAGUGCUCUGAAUGUCAAAGUGAGAAAUUCAACCAAGCGCGAGUAAAGGCGGAGUAACUAUGACUCUCUUAAGGUAGCCAAAUGCCUGUCAUCUAAUUAGUGACGCGCAUGAAUGGAUUAACGAGAUUCCCACUGUCCUGUCUACUAUCCAGCGAAACCACAGCCAAGGAAGGAACGGUUUGGCGGAAUCAGCGGGGAAAGAAGACCCUGUUGAGCUUGACUCUAGUCCGACUUUGUGAAAUGACUUGAGAGGUGUAGGAUAAGUGUGGGAGCCGGAAACGGCAAAAGUGAUAACCACUACUUUUAACGUUAUUUUACUUAUUCCGUGAAUCGGAGGCGGGGCAUUGCCCCUCUUUUUUGGACCACAAGGCUGGCUUUCGGCGGUCGAUUCGGGUCGGGACGGAAGAAUUGUAGGUGGGGAGUUUGGCUGGGGGCACAUCUGUUAAAGAUAACGCAGGGGUCCUAAGAUGAGCUCACGAGAACAGAAAUCUCGUGUGGAACAGAAGGGUAAAAGCUCGUUUGAUUCUGAUUUCAAGUACGAAUACGAACCGUGAAAGCGUGGCCUAAACGAUCCUUUAGACCUUCGGAAUUUGAAGCUAGAGGUGUCAGAAAAGUUACCACAGGGAUAACUGGCUUGUGGCAGCCAGCGUUCAUAGCGACGUUGCUUUUUGAUCUUCGAUGUCGGCUCUUCCUAUCAUUGUGAAGCAGAAUUCACCAAGUGUUGGAUUGUUCACCCACAAUAGGAAACGUGAGCUGGGUUUAGACGUCGUGAGACAGGUUAGUUUUCCCCUACUGAUGAUAGUGUCGCAAUAGUAAUUCAACCUAGUACGAGAGGAACCGUUGAUUCGCACAAUUGGUCAUCGCGCUGGUUGAAAAGCCAGUGGCGCGAAGCUACCGUGCGUUGAUUAUGACUGAACGCCUCUAAGUCAGAAUCGGGCUAGAAGCGACGCGUGGCCCGCCGCUCGUUUGCCGCCAGCAGUAGGGGGCCUGCGCCCCAGAGGCACGUGCCGUUGGCGACGCCCCAGGGCGGACGAGCCUGUGGGGAUGCCUUGAAGCGCUUUUCCGAACGAGGGCGGGUAGAAUCCUUUGCAGACGACUUAAAUACGACGGGGUAUUGUAAGUGGCAGAGUGGCUUGCUGCCACGAUCCACUAGAGAUUCAGCC